UAUCAACCCUUAUUUGAUUAUUAUUUAUUUAUUUAUUAUUUUCCCAUUUAUAUUUAUUUUGCACACACCCAGUAUUUAUUUGUAUAUUAUUUUCGAAAAAAAAAGUAGUUCCACCCUUUUCUCGCGAGAGUCAGAGUGAGAGCAGCCAUGACGAGCAGGUGAGAAAUACCGAAGCAAGUCACUCUUUAGUAAACAAAAACCGGCGGUUGUUAACUCACUUUAGAGCACAGAAAAAGUCUGGAAACUGCACCUAACGGGAGCAGAGGGAUUGUCGAGGACCUGUGUGUUGUUGUUUUCGGCAGAGACCUGGCUAGGUUUUUUGAGCACCCUCAGAACUUACCGUAGAUAUGGAUCGGGAUUCUCCUCGUGGAAGGAGAUGGCGAGCCAGUGAUACCAAAGGAGCAGAGAACCAGCACCUGAGCCUGAGGAGGACAUCCAGCCCUUCUCCACCGUAACUGAGUGUGUCUGUGGUAGGACCACACACACACACCUGACUUUUGUGCCCCUGACUAUUUUAUUUUAUUUCCCCCUGAUUUGACUUGACUUUUGAAUAACGCGCGCUGCAGCACCAAGUACAUUAAAGGACAACUGAAGGAACAUUGAGGAACAUUAAAGGACAAUUAAAGGGACAUUACCUUUCCUAUAAGGACACUUUUUGUUGUUUUAUAUUGAAAAGAAAUACUGAAAUAUUGAAAGAUCAGUUGUAAAAAUACUGAAUUUAUUUUCUUAUUUUAUUUUUAUUUUUCCAUUCAAACUUUUUGGUUCAAUACAUUGAACUUACAUUUAAACUAC